rnacentral:lncRNA from 1 species
UUCGUGAAGACUGGAUUUCCUCAGUGACUUACAGUGGAAACAGAGACAGGAGGUCAUGAAAAUUAGUUGCUAGCCUCCCACUAGCCUGAGAGGAGUGGGCUACACUCCAGGGCAUUGGACAAAUAACUGAACAUCACUUAACCAUUUCAAACUAAGGCAAAAUGCACUGGAACGCCUGCCCGAUUCCGCACUUCACACCCCUUCCUCUGGAGUAUCUUCAGGAUUCCAGCCUGAGUCCCUGACCUCUGAGCCUCACCCACAGAACACUCUCCUCAGAGGUCCCCUAGGACAAAGGCCAUGCCACCUUCUGGUUGCAGUGACUGGGGGACGCUGCUUGGUUUCCUGGCAACUACUGCUCUGUUUUUUACCUGUGGCUCCAGAGGAAGUCAGAAACCUGUCCAGCCCAGAUCUCCGUGAACGCCUCUGCUGCAGCUCACCUAACCCAGCCAGGGACCAGGAGCCCAUGGAAAGCAAUGAUGAGUACUGAGGAAAGAUGUAGGGAUGAGGACUCCUCUGCUGUCUAUUUAGAGGUGAAGAAAGAACAGCCCACAGCAGCCUCAGCUGAGCAGCAGUAAAAGGAACCUGUAGUUGGAGCUCUUCUUAAGAAGUCUGAAAAUCAGGAGUUCCCAUCGUGGCACGCGGAAACAAAUCCGACUAGGAACCAUGAGGUUGAGGGUUCGAUCCCUGGCCUUGCUCAGGGGGUUGGGGAUCCAGCGUUGCUGUGAGCUGUGGUGUAGGUCACAGACAUGGCUUGGAUCUGGCAUUGCUGUGGCUGUGGGGUAGGCUGACAGUUGUAGCUCCGAUUAGACCCCUAGCCUGGGACCCCGCAUAUGCUGCAGGUGCGGCCCUAAAAAGACAAAAAAAAAAAAGUCUGAAAAUCAGAUAAUAACAGAUCUUCAGACUUGGUAAUGGUAUUUAUUCUGGAGCUGAAUCUCAGCUUCUGCUUUCAAAUGGUGCAUUUGCUCCCCAAUUAACCACAGUAUCUGCCGCUUGGUAUUGUUUCCUUGAAUCUGAGCCAAGUGACAGCUGCCAUUUAGUCCCUCAAACAUCCAAUUAUUUACUCACAAUAGACUUAAGAAAAGAGUGCCUCUUUUACCCAUGUCUCUGGCAAAAGUAGGAAAAUAAAAGACAGAAAAAGAAGAGUCUGUGGUUUCAAGAAGAGAUCAUUUCCUUGUAAAAGUAAAAAGUAUUCCUAUAUAUAUGCAAAUAAAGUGUGUCUUUGUUGAUUAAAUACAAAUAAAGAUACCAUUAUAAAACAUAUUAUAGCAAGAAUUAUGAUAGGCUAGAGGAAGAUGCAUGUUGAAGAAAUUAAUGAACUAAAAAAUAAAGAACUGAACU